rnacentral:rRNA from 1 species
UACGUAGGGCGCAAGCGUUGUCCGGAAUUAUUGGGCGUAAAGAGCUCGUAGGCGGCCUGUUACGUCUGCUGUGAAAUCCCGGGGCUUAACCCCGGGCGUGCAGUGGAUACGGGCAGGCUGGAGGCAGGCAGGGGAGAACGGAAUUCCCGGUGUAGCGGUGAAAUGCGCAGAUAUCGGGAGGAACACCGGUGGCGAAGGCGGUUCUCUGGGCCUGUACUGACGCUGAGGAGCCGAAAGCGUGGGGAGCGAACAGGAUAGAU